AGCUGUUUCUGACCUAAUUGAUCAAAAAUGCUUUUCUUCUGGAAACAGUGCAAAAUGUCUUCUUUACAAGGCAAAUGACUGUGGGGACUGGUGAGAGAGACAAAGAAAGGGUCAUUAUGGUGAAGGAAAUAUUUUUAUCUAGGCCUCAGGAAACGGUGGUCUGGCUAGUGACUGCAGUGCUGCGGACGGUUACAUGCACAGUAUUCGCUCAGGGCAAAGCAUGCCAUCACUUAUGUCUGCCCCUAAACUCCUGGAGUACAAGAACUAAUGUCAAUAUCCACCUGGAAAUAGCUAGCGAGGAAGGACUGUGGAAGCUACUACCCUGAAACAACCUUUCAAACUCAAGUGAGGGAAAAAAGUACUGCUGGGAGAAGAAGCAAACCGUGAAACUGGACAAAGAUGGUUGCAUAUAAUGAUUCAGGUACACUUUAUAACUUAUAAUUGUCACAUCAUAUCACCAAUCUUUCUGCCUGCCAGAGAGGAUGUUUUCUCAUCAAAGACCUUGGAAUAACUGUACCCAUCACCAGUUAGUCUUGGCAACAGCUCUGCCACAUGGAGAAGUCACCUUAUCAACAUUAU